AUUGAACGCUGGCGGCAGGCCUAACACAUGCAAGUCGAAUGGUAACAGGAAACAGCUUGCUGUUUCGCUGACGAGUGGCGGACGGGUGAGUAAUGUCUGGGAAACUGCCUGAUGGAGGGGGAUAACUACUGGAAACGGUAGCUAAUACCGCAUAACGUCGCAAGACCAAAGAGGGGGACCUUCGGGCCUCUUGCCAUCAGAUGUGCCCAGAUGGGAUUAGCUAGUAGGUGGGGUAACGGCUCACCUAGGCGACGAUCCCUAGCUGGUCUGAGAGGAUGACCAGCCACACUGGAACUGAGAUACGGUCCAGACUCCUACGGGAGGCAGCAGUGGGGAAUAUUGCACAAUGGGCGCAAGCCUGAUGCAGCCAUGCCGCGUGUAUGAAGAAGGCCUUCGGGUUGUAAAGUACUUUCAGCGGGGAGGAAGGGAGUAAAGUUAAUACCUUUGCUCAUUGACGUUACCCGCAGAAGAAGCACCGGCUAACUCCGUG
rnacentral:rRNA from 1 species